rnacentral:misc_RNA from 1 species
UCCGAGUUGACCCCGGCAGUCUCCUGUGAGUCCCCAUCACCCCGAAGGGCAUGCUGGCAACACAGAACAAGGGUUGCGCUCGUUGCGGGACUUAACCCAACAUCUCACGACACGAGCUGACGACAGCCAUGCACCACCUGUCACCCGACCACAAGGGGGGCACCAUCUCUGUUGCUUUCCGGGCGAUGUCAAGCCUUGGUAAGGUGGGGAUGACGUGUAACCGAAUCU